rfam:Papillibacter cinnamivorans DSM 12816 genome assembly, contig: EJ70DRAFT_scaffold00014.14
GCGCCUUUAGCUCAGUUGGUAGAGCAGCUGACUCUUAAUCAGCGGGCCCUGGGUUCGAGUCCCUGAAGGCGCA